UACGGAGGGGGCUAGCGUUGUUCGGAAUUACUGGGCGUAAAGCGCACGUGGGCGGCUUUGUAAGUUAGAGGUGAAAGCCCGGGGCUCAACUCCGGAACUGCCUUUAAGACUGCAUCGCUAGAAUUGUGGAGAGGUGAGUGGAAUUCCGAGUGUAGAGGUGAAAUUCGUAGAUAUUCGGAAGAACACCAGUGGCGAAGGCGACUCACUGGACACAUAUUGACGCUGAGGU
rnacentral:rRNA from 1 species